AUUGCGCUCUCAAUUCAACAGGUGGAAGAUCAAUAAUCCUACAAAAUUUUGUUGAAAUACAUGCAUUCAAUUAUGGUUUUAUUGGGAGAUGAGGAGGGAACGGUUUUGGAAGAUGAGGGGUUUUGGAGGUUGGGAGAUGAGAGGGAAUAGUUUUGUGCAAUUAUAUGCAUUCAAUUGUGGUUUUAUUGGGAGAUAAGGAGGGAACGGUUUUGAAGAUGAGGGGUUUUAGAGGUUGGGAGAUGAAAGAGAGCAGUUUUGAAAUAUAUAUAUAUAUAUAUAUAUAUAUAUAUAUAUAUAUAUAUAGCUAGUCUUCUAUACUAUCUAUGGUACCGGGGCUCCGGUACUAUAGUCUCGUUUUCGAUCUUAGGGUGUUCAAAUCAACGAUCCAUACAGUUAAAACUGAUCUAAGGUACGUAUUUAAAGUUUUUAGAAAUAAAAUUUUAUAUUUUUUUUGAUAUAGUUACUUUAUGAUCAAACCAAUUCAAAAUUGUCAACUUUCAAUGGCUACUAUGGCGAGUUUGGAGUUUAACGGUGUAAAAGAAUCUAAUUUUUUUCAAAUUUUGAUAGAAAAUACUUUAAACUAUCUAGAUUAAGGUUAACAUUCUUGAUCUUGAAUUUAAAAGUCCUAUACUCAAAUUUUAAAAAUUAUUCAAUUUUCACCGUCCAUUUUGACAUAAUUCAUUUACUAAGUAAAUGAUGUCGAAAAAAACUAAAAUUUUAUUUCUAAAAAACUUCAUAUAUCCUAGAUUAUAUUUAACGAUGUGGAUCGUUAAUUUGAACACCCUUAAAUCGAAAACAACACUAUAGUAUGAGAGCUCCGGUACUGUAGAUAGUAUAGUAGCCUAAUUCUAUAUAUAUA
rnacentral:lncRNA from 1 species